AUCAGAAAUACCAGUAAAAGCUGCUGAUAAAUGACGUUCCGUUCAUUUAUCAGCAGCUUUUACUGGUAUUUCUCUAAU
rnacentral:pre_miRNA from 1 species